CAGGGGUCAGGGAUCCCCUAGUUGAUAGAUCUUGUUUCAGUCCUGUUUAGGGAUCCUUCUGCCAGGGCCCACCAGACUCAGGGGUUUCCCCUCCCCUGCAAGGUCUCCUUCCAUGAGCAUUGCUUUUUCUUUCUGCUCCUCAGUUUCCCCAUAUAUAAAAUGAGUCCAGUGACCCUACCUUGAUGGGCAGUGCCAUAUAGUCUAAAGGAGAGCACAUACAAGCUGGAAGUAGACUGCCCUGAGAUCAUUGUUAGGCCCUACCAUUUCCCAGCCAUCUAUUUUUCUUGGUGAGUUGUUUCACUUUUCUGAGCCUCAGCUUCCUCACCUGGAAAAUAGAUAUGGUUAUAUGACCUCAAAAGUGCUGAGAUUACAGGUGUAAGCCACCGCACCCAGCCCGGAAGGAGCUCAUUCUAAUCCUCUUCUGUCUUUACCGUCUGUCCCCAGUCCCCGGGUCCAGUGCUGCUGGGAUUGAUUGAGAAAUUUGGUGGCUUCUCUUUGGUAGAUCCAAGCUGUAGUGCCACCCUUUACCAGUAGGUGCCGCCAUCUAACAUACCAUCCUUCAGCUCUUGGUGAAGUCCUGAAGCCAGACCUCUGGGAGUCUACUCAGGGAACCCACUGCCUCAAACAAAUUUGCAAAUAAAAUUAUUGUAUUUGAAAUAGGCCCGCAUUGGUGAAGUUAAGAUUUGGAACUAAUUGUAUGUGUAUU